AUCUAUCGAUCGCUACUAUGCCCCGCGGUAAAAAAAGAAAGUAAACCGCCCGCCCGCACGACCUCCUCCUUCUCCCGCACGACCUCCUCCUCCUCCCGCAGCCGCGCCCUUCACCGCCUCCUCGCGCCGCCGGAGCCACGGGAAGCGGCCGCGGGUCGCCGGGAGCCUCCCCGACCGCGGGAGCCCACCCCGCCCCCGCCGCGGCUCGCCGGGAGCCUCCCCUGCCGCCGGAGCCGCCCCGCCGCAGCUUGGCCUCCGCCACUCCGCCACUCCGCCGGAGCGAGUCUCUCUCCUCUUCACUUGGGAUGGGACGCCUCCUCUCCUCUGCUCCCAGCCGGAUCCAAUCCACCUCGCCCCGGCAUGCAGCCACGGAAGGCCAGGUCCGUGCGCCUCUUUCCCAUGGCCAUGGAGUCGCCGCAGCUGCCAUGGAAUGCCUGGAUGUCGUCAAGAUGCACGCAGGUGCAGCACCUACACCGAUGUCUGCUCUUGAGACACAGAUAACAGAGGAGAGGACAAGUCUAGAAUUGCUAGACUGAAUCUAUCCAUCUGCUCUGCUCUCGGGACAACAGAGGAGAGGACAAGUCCAGAAUUGCUAGACUGAAUCUAUCCAUCUGCUCAGCUCAGUUCAUGCAGGUCAGGUCACAUCACGGAGGGAUUCCUGCGAAUCUACAUACAACUUCAAUUAAUUUAUUAGUACUAGAGGCUAGAGACAUAGCAAUCGUCAGGCUUCAGUUUUGUACUGACCACUCCAAGGCUUGUUCAACCUGGUGAAUCUUUCCUUCAUCUGCAUCAUUUUUCGCUUCAGUCUGUACAUCCUCGCCCUCCGCCCACUGAUCCUAUUCUCCGCCGCCCGCCUUCCUCUGCUCCUCCUCUGCCGCCGCCGAUCUCAUCUGAGCCAGUACAGAAUAUUGCUACUCAUCAACAUCUGCAGCAUCUAAGGUCCUUUUCGUCACAUAUUCAUAUUUACUUGAGAUUCUGCUUACUUUGUUUGCACCAUUUAAUAAUUGAGCUUCUCAAUAUUGCAUGAAUAUUUCUAAUGAUGUACGAUGUUCCCCAUUUCUUUAACAUCCCUGGCAUGUGUGUGCUCCAUUAGUGAAUGACAAAUUUCUGAAUUUUUGUGAUGAACAAUGUUUACGUUCGUUUAGGCAGCUCACCGGCAUCCAUCAUGGUUUGCUAUUUUAGAAUUAAUCAAGAUUACCUUUCAGGCUUCUUCCGUUGCCUAGCUAAUUCCCUCCUUGUAGGCCAUGUUGUGGUCUGAAAUUGAACGUAUACAUAUGAUCCUGGUUUUUCUACACCGCCAACUUUACUAUUGAUUACUCCUAGAACCUUAAGUUGAUCUGAAUAGACAUAGCGAAGUAGAUGCAAACUUCAGGAUAAAAGCAUGUAUAUCAUGGAAUGAUAGGAAGAGGGCUCUGAGCUAGACAUGUAGAUUAUACCGUUUAAUGUUAGCUCCAUCAAUACUGAUACAUAUACGAUUUCCUGUUGUAGAUAGGUAAAUAUUUUGCAAGUAAUGUAAUUUGGUAAAUAACCUAAAGUAUUAACCUUACUGCUAUCUCAAAGUAUGAUGCGAUUAUUCAGUAUCCAUUGCCUGAUAUAGUCAGUCAGAGGCAUCAAAUCAAAUCUCCCUUAAAUGAUUAAAUCAUUUAACUGCACAUCACAAGUAUCAGCCUCCAUCUGCCACCAAUAUUGCAAGAAACAAGGCAUGCUGAUCUAAUAACCGUCUUUAUAUAUAUUUUUAACCUAACAAGUGAGCUGAUGAUCAGGAAAUCAUGUUUAACUAUCAAUAAGUGAUACCAUUUCUUGGUUCAGUGAAGUGAUUAUGUGGAUCUUGUGAGGAAAACAGAUAUGCCAAGAAGCCUGGGAGGUUGUCUACAGUCACUGGCCUGGUAUGUGACCUGCUUGCAUCUUUUCCUGAUUACCUCACAACUGCAGUUGUCUAUGUUUUAUAUUAACCAUCGUUUUAUCAAUUUAAUUCACAAGUUUGUUUCUCGAAUUUACAUGUAUGCAUUGAUGACAUGAAAACUGAACAUAUAUUUGUUUGACACUGAGUUCUGCUGAACAUGUAAGUAUAGCCGGGAGAGUCAUGUAUUCGCUCGAUGCCAUAGCUCACCAACCCCGAGCUGUUGCCACUGUCGAAGACACCUUAAUAUUAAACAAUAAGUAUUAUAUUCAUCAAGAGAGUUUCCUCGCUAUGUGGUGUUAAUUCUGAUCCAUAUGAUUUCUCGCACAAAGAAUGCGUCUAUAUGACAUGAGGUUAGUCUUCUUUAACUCCUUUCUGAUCUAUUAAUUAUUAAGCGUCCCAUCUCUUGGUCUCAAAGUUUUCGAGAAAAUGAUUUAUUUUGUUUAGUGCCAUUCAAGAGAUGUGGAUAAAAAAUCAUGUGUGCAUAUGCACCUAGGAGCCAAAACGCCACUCUCACUUACUGAUUAUAUACAUUGACAUAUGACCAUAACUGAACAAUGUUGAGUUUUCUUCUAAAUUAGUAUGAAUUUUUUUCUGCUCAAAAACAGUUUUCUAUGAUAUUUGUAAUUUCCACGUUUCGAUUGAGCUUCUUACGAUCUAUCAGUAAGGCCUCUCAGGUUUUAGAUUUGUGAUUAGAUCGUUGCAUAUAAGCCAAAAUGAGUCUAUAAUAAGGGAAAUAAACUGGCUACGCUUACCGUAUGGAUGAAACUGAAGAGUGAAGUGAUAUUUCUUUCUACCAUUGCAUAGCUUUACCAUCACCGAUCCAUGUUAAGUGUGAUUUAUUUCUCUGUACAUUAUUCGGAUACAAAGGAUUCAAGCUGAAAAGAAGAUGCAGUGGAUUCAAUGUUAUGCAGAACAUUAUCACAAGUUGGCAUUUCCUGUGAAACGAAGACCAUUAUAUAGAACAUUGAUUAAUUUGUAGAAAAAUGCUGAUAGCCAAAGGUUAAUGCUGAUAGCCAAAGGGUAAUGCUGAUAGACCAUUAUAUAUAAAUACUUGAAAUAAUUCAGUUAUGGUUUCUAUCAAUAUAUUGUUUCUACUGCAUAUAUAUUACUUUUAGCUACGCAAUUUCCUCCGACAGCCAAAGGCUUGUCUAUUAGUAUCUUUUGUAUUUGAUGGGAUCUUGUAACGAGAAAAAACCUUCGAAGCAAGAAACAGGAAACAAAAAGCUUGAUAGUAUUGUACUAUUUUAUCUCACUGGAAGAUUAUGUGUACUCAUUAAUAUGUGCAUUUGCACGUACAUGAUUACUAGUGAGAGAAAAGGGCCCACAGAACCCAGCACAAGCCUGUUGUAAACAAGAAAAAAAGGUGCAUAAUCCUAGACGGGCCGUCCCUACUAGUCCAGACGACGAAACAAGUGGACAACCGAGCCAGCCUACACAAAAGACGCGUAGGUCUUGAAGCCCCUGCAUCCUAUGGUAAUGGGGUUGACUGAGACUUUGUUAACUCUCAGCUGAAUGAGGUUUAGCAAAAUUGAUACUCCCUCAAUUUCUAUAUACAAAGCCGCAAAUUCAGAUUACAAGUAUUGAGGUAAUA